rnacentral:sRNA from 1 species
CAGAACCGAGCUUCAUGUGUUUAGUCCUGUCCAGGAAUCAGCAAACACACUUGAGAGGCAGCAGUUGAAUACUCUUUUAAAUUUAGAGAAUCUCUGAUUUGCUGUCACUGUAGAGAAUUUCAGUUACACUUUGAGAUCUACAUAGACUUGGUUUUGUUUAUCAAAUCUGUAGGACACUGCUUAACUCUUAAAAAUCUUGGAGCUGAUGUUUUACUAGGCAUAUAAACAGAUACAUUUCUACCUAUUAUUCUUCCCAUUCAUUCAUUCUUCUCCCGUGUUUUUGUAAGUAGUAGAAUACUUAAACUAUAAAUGCAGAAAUAAGCCUACCUGAAUAACUGGAUUUUGCCCCUUUCCCUCUAUUUUAUCUAUCUAUCCCAAAGACUUUCAAAAUUGUGGACUAUGAAGAUGAGUUAGAUUUGCUUUCUGUGGUAGCUGUUACUCAAAUAGAUGCUGAAGGAAAAGCUCACCUGGAUUUCCACUGUAAUGAAUAUGGAACUUUACUUAAAAGCAUUCCACUAGUGGAGUCAUGGGAUGUGACAUAUAGCCAUGAAGUCUACUUUGACAGGGACUUGGUGCUACACAUAGAGCAGAAACCCAACAGAGUCUUCAGCUGCUAUGUUUACCAGAUGGUAUGUGACACUGGGGAAGAAGAAGAAACCAUAAACAGAAGCUGUUAAAAAGAAUGAGAUAAUUGU